rnacentral:misc_RNA from 1 species
GAUGAAGAACGUAGCGAAAUGCGAUAAGUAAUGUGAAUUGCAGAAUUCAGUGAAUCAUCGAAUCUUUGAACGCACAUUGCGCCCCCUGGUAUUCCGGGGGGCAUGCCUGUUCGAGCGUCAUUACAACCCUCAAGCUCUGCUUGGUAUUGGGCCCCGCCAGUUCUGGCGGGCCCUAAAGUCAGUGGCGGUGGCUUCCGGCUCCGAGCGUAGUAAUUCUUCUCGCUCUGGAGACCCGGUUGUGUGCUUGCCAACAAACCCCAAUUUUUUAAGGUUGACCUCGGAUCAGGUAGGGAUACCCGCUGAACUUAAGCAUAUCAAUAAGCGGAGGA